rnacentral:rRNA from 1 species
AGUGAACGCUGGCGGCGUGCUUAACACAUGCAAGUCGAGCGAGAACGGAUUAUAGCUUGCUAUAAUUGUCAGCUAAGUGGCGCACGGGUGAGUAAUGUAUAGGUAAUAUGCCUCUUACUAAGGGAUAACAAAUGGAAACGUUUGCUAAUACCUUAUACUCCUUAUUAACAGAAGUUAAUAAGGGAAAGAUUUAUUGGUAAGAGAUUAGCCUGUAUUGUAUCAGUUAGUUGGUGGGGUAAUGGCUUACCAAGACUAUGACACAUAACUGGUUUGAGAGGAUGAUCAGUCACACUGGAACUGAGACACGGUCCAGACUCCUACGGGAGGCAGCAGUGGGGAAUAUUGCACAAUGGACGGAAGUCUGAUGCAGCAACGCCGCGUGGAGGAUGACACAUUUCGGUGCGUAAACUCCUUUUAUAUGAGAAGAUAAUGACGGUAUUAUAUGAAUAAGCACCGGCUAACUCCGUGCCAGCCGCCGCAGUAAUAC